rnacentral:rRNA from 1 species
AGUGAACGCUGGCGGUAGGUCUAACACAUGCAAGUCGAACGGCAGCACAGUAAGAGCUUGCUCUUACGGGUGGCGAGUGGCGGACGGGUGAGGAAUACAUCGGAAUCUACUUUUUCGUGGGGGAUAACGUAGGGAAACUUACGCUAAUACCGCAUACGACCUACGGGUGAAAGCAGGGGAUCUUCGGACCUUGCGCGAUUGAAUGAGCCGAUGUCGGAUUAGCUAGUUGGCGGGGUAAAGGCCCACCAAGGCGACGAUCCGUAGCUGGUCUGAGAGGAUGAUCAGCCACACUGGAACUGAGACACGGUCCAGACCCCUACGGGAGGCAGCAGUGGGGAAUAUUGGACAAUGGGCGCAAGCCUGAUCCAGCCAUACCGCGUGGGUGAAGAAGGCCUUCGGGUUGUAAAGCCCUUUUGUUGGGAAAGAAAAGCAGCAGGUUAAUACCCCGCUGUUCUGACGGUACCCAAAGAAUAAGCACCGGCUAACUUCGUG